AAAAAGUUGUACGUGUAUUGUUUUUACAAUCGGUUCAUUUAUAACACGGUAGACCAUAAUGGGUGGUACUGCGAACUGGGCGCCUUCGUGAGUUCACGCUCGACGGCUUACCCCGGAACGACUGAAGAACUGUCUUUGUCUUUGGACCGCGCACUUUACUCUCUGUACGCCCUAAAAUGGUGUUAAUUAGAUAAAUAGGAUAUCUUUAAAGGAUCCGGUCCUCGAAAAAAUUCUACGAUCACAAUUCCCCAAUCUGAUGAUCGCUAGCGAGCUUACCUUAUGAAGACUAGGAAAUAUAAUCAUAUCGCUCAAUUAAAAUUGAUGUAAUUCAAGCUGCACACCCGAAAUCUUGACGCUUCAGGUAAUUAAGGAACAGAU